CUCCGAAAUCGAUCCUUCUCCAAAGCCCGAUUCACAUUAGAAGACGGAAAAUUGGCACUUGGGAAUGGAGGCAAGCGGAGGAGGAGGAAGGCCGCUGCUUCAUGACCGUUUCGUGAUAACAAGCCCUCUCAUGACUUCGAAAUAUGGCUGAUGAUCAGGGAAUAUCAUUGCCAGACAUUCCUUGCCUAACUUGUGAGCUCAUGGUUGAGGGCUCUCAUGCUGUGACUAACUGGUUUUGCCCUCUUGUGGAGUUGGGACGAAUGAUCAUUGAACUGUUACAGUGAAGAUAGCCAUCUCACAACAUGACUUCAAAAAAAUGCUUUGAUUAUCAAAGCCUCCAAACCUCAGAACACUAAAAAGCGGCAUACGAAGAAAUACAAAUACCCCUUUCAAAGGGCGAGGUUAAAUACAGUCUCAAAGAUGGCCAAGGCUUAACUGGAUAUUUCAGGGAUCUGUGUAUGUGCCGUAACUCUUUCAGUACUGAAGGAACAAUACGUACAUUUCCUGAGCAUCGGGUCAAUUUUUGCUGGACAUCAUCCAUUGAAGAAUUGAAUUGAUCAUCACCAGACUCGGUGGCGGAUUUCCCAUUGCUUGUGGUGAAUGCUAUGUUUCAGUGGUUUUCAAUCCUUGGCCGCAAACAACAUUUUUGUCGACCGUUGAGUGGAGCCUCGAAGAAUUCUCCACGCCACUCAUUUUUGACAGGAAUCUCCAGCGAUUCUCGAAAGAUUCCCACAAUUUUGAACUCAUUUCGAUUCCAAUCUACCUUACAAAGAAGAGUGUUAACAAAGUUCUUCUUCUUCAGCAUGUUCUUAUCCUCAAACAUACAUGUAUGAUUCUUCCUACUAGGCACUUGUGCAUGCAGUGACUGAGUACAAGUGUAUGGUUCUUGAUCAUCACUACGAAGUUACUCAAUGGCAAAAAAGCUCAACCUAGACAAGAAGAAUAAAGAGGAAGGAGGAGGAGGAGGAGGAGGAUUAUCUCCAAAGGAAUGUUUCUACAACACAAUGAGCACACCAAACACACCCAACAAACUGCCGUUUGCUCAUGUGGGCAGCAAAAAAUAAAACACGACACCAAGCGAGAUCAAAUCGCUUGGAAAUAGUUUGUUCCAGAGCUGUCACUCAAACCACCAGAUUCUUUGGACUCAAUACUCGACGACGACGACACUGACUUACUGACUUGGUUCGGUUCGUUUUUCGGCCACGGGAUCCUGAGAUGGUCAUCAGCUCUUUGAGAACGAAUGGCCCAACCCUGUUGGCUAGAAUUGGCCAUAAAGAUGCAAAUAUCCGGCCCAUGUGACAGAAUUAAAGAGCAACCCGGAGACUGAGUUGGUUCUCUUCAAGCCAUUCAGAAAAAGAACCAAUCUCUUUGGCAAUCCAAUGCUUUCACGCACAGAUGAAUUCGACUUAUCGUAACCCCAAGACCAUUUUAGAUGAAUGUCUUUAUCUUGCGUAUCUUGCGUUUAUGUUAACAGCUUUGUGUUUUAACCAUGCGGCUUACCUGUGACCGCUCUGAAUUUAUCGAGUCUUUUGCAUUACUCUUGUAGCAAUCCACAUUUUUGGCUCAGUUUUCACUGAGGGUGUCUUGUUUGCCUUUUUCUUUUUUUUUGUAUUUAAAACCUUCUCUCAUUCUUAGAGUCUUAAUGUCCCCGGCGAAGAAAAGGGCGUUAGUAUUUGUUGUUUUGAAAUUGCAUUUUGUCAUGAUACGUAAGUAAAAAUAGACAUGGAAAAGGGCAA